rnacentral:rRNA from 1 species
GACGAACGCUGGCGGCGUGCCUAACACAUGCAAGUCGAACGGAACUUUUUUAAAAGAUUUCUUCGGAAUGAAUUUGAUUAAGUUUAGUGGCGGACGGGUGAGUAACGCGUGAGUAACCUGCCUCUAAGAGGGGAAUAACAUUCUGAAAAGAAUGCUAAUACCGCAUAACAUAUAUUUAUCGCAUGGUAGAUAUAUCAAAGAUUUAUCGCUUAGAGAUGGACUCGCGUCCGAUUAGUUAGUUGGUGAGGUAACGGCUCACCAAGACCGCGAUCGGUAGCCGGACUGAGAGGUUGAACGGCCACAUUGGGACUGAGACACGGCCCAGACUCCUACGGGAGGCAGCAGUGGGGGAUAUUGCGCAAUGGGGGAAACCCUGACGCAGCAACGCCGCGUGAAGGAUGAAGGUCUUCGGAUUGUAAACUUCUUUUAAUUAAGGACGAAAGAAAGUGACGGUACUUAAUGAAUAAGCUCCGGCUAACUACGUG